AGACCCGAAACCCGGUGAUCUAGCCAUGGGCAGGUUGAAGGUUGGGUAACACUAACUGGAGGACCGAACCGACUAAUGUUGAAAAAUUAGCGGAUGACCUGUGGCUGGGGGUGAAAGGCCAAUCAAACCGGGAGAUAGCUGGUUCUCCCCGAAAGCUAUUUAGGUAGCGCCUCGUGAAUUCAUCUCCGGGGGUAGAGCACUGUUUCGGCUAGGGGGCCAUCCCGGCUUACCAACCCGAUGCAAACUGCGAAUACCGGAGAAUGUUAUCACGGGAGACACACGGCGGGUGCUAACGUCCGUCGUGAAGAGGGAAACAACCCAGACCGCCAGCUAAGGUCCCAAAGUCAUGGUUAAGUGGGAAACGAUGUGGGAAGGCCCAGACAGCCAGGAUGUUGGCUUAGAAGCAGCCAUCAUUUAAAGAAAGCGUAAUAGCUCACUGGUCGAGUCGGCCUGCGCGGAAGAUGUAACGGGGCUAAACCAUGCACCGAAGCUGCGGCAGCGACACUCAGGUGUUGUUGGGUAGGGGAGCGUUCUGUAAGCCUGUGAAGGUGGCCUGUGAGGGUUGCUGGAGGUAUCAGAAGUGCGAAUGCUGACAUAAGUAACGAUAAAGC
rnacentral:rRNA from 1 species